rnacentral:rRNA from 1 species
CAGUCGCCACGGUAACACGUAGGGUGCAAGCGUUAAUCGGAAUUACUGGGCGUAAAGCGUGCGCAGGCGGUUAUAUAAGACAGAUGUGAAAUCCCCGGGCUCAACCUGGGAACUGCAUUUGUGACUGUAUAGCUAGAGUACGGCAGAGGGGGAUGGAAUUCCGCGUGUAGCAGUGAAAUGCGUAGAUAUGCGGAGGAACACCGAUGGCGAAGGCAAUCCCCUGGGCCUGUACUGACGCUCAUGCACGAAAGCGUGGGGAGCAAACAGGAUUAGAUACCCCUGUAGUCCCUGUCUCUUAUAA